rnacentral:rRNA from 1 species
AUAUCAAUAAGCGGAGGAAAAGAAACUAACAAGGAUUCCCUUAGUAACUGCGAGUGAAGUGGGAAAAGCUCAAAUUUAGAAUCUGGCAGUCACUUGGCUGUCCGAGUUGUAAUCUAGAGAAGUGUUGCCCGUGCUGGACCAUGUACAAGUCUCCUGGAAUGGAGCAUCACAGAGGGUGAGAAUCCUGUCUUUGACAUGGACUGCCAGUGCUUUUGUGGUACGCUCUCAAAGAGUCGAGUUGUUUGGGAAUGCAGCUCAAAAUGGGUGGUAAAUGCCAUCUAAAGCUAAAUAUUGGCGAGAGACCGAUAGCGAACAAGUACCGUGAGGGAAAGAUGAAAAGAACUUUGGAAAGAGAGUUAAACAGUACGUGAAAUUGCUGAAAGGGAAACGCUUGAAGUCAGUCACGUUGACUCGGAAUCAGCUCUGCUUUUGCUGGGUGUACUUUCUUGUCAAUGGGUCAGCAUCAAUUUUGACCAUUGGAUAAAGUUGCUGGGAAUGUAGCAUCCUUUUGGAUGUGUUAUAGCCUGGUGAUGCAUACAGUGGUUGGGAUUGAGGAAUUCAGCACGCCACCAGGCCGGGUUUCGACCACGUUCGUGCUUAGGAUGCUGGCAUAAUGGCUUUAAUUGA